CUGGUCCUGUCUGUAGUGACGGAGUGUUCUAACAGCACUCCUGGAAGGACUCGGCACAGCCAACCAGUAUUUUAUAAUUGUACCAGCACUACAGUGGAAGACUUGAUUUUCGUCGUGUGAGUAGGAUUGAUUGAUUGAUGGCUUUUUUUCUUUAGAAAAUAAAAAUGGUAGCACAAUGGCAACAUAAAUUCUGAGGAGGUGGGAAGGGUCACACUGCAACAAAAAAUAACUUAAGGAUGACUGUCUUACUGUGAGACUACUUCCUAAUAUUGAGAUACAGUUUAAAGACAGACUGAGUAUCCUAUGACAAAAUGCUUGAGGGCAGAAGUUUUUAGGUAUUUUUCAGAUUUUUGGAAUAUCUGCAUAUAUAAAAUAGACCCAAGUACAUUGUUAGGUUUCAUAUAUACCUUUUAUUCAUAAUUUGAAAGUAAUUUUAUUUAGUGUUAGUCUGGCUGUGUCAUAUAAAGUUAGGUGUGAAAUUUUAGAUGUCACAUGAUAUUUCAAUAUUCAGAACGUUUUGGAACAUUUUAGAUUUUGGAAUUUUGUAUUAGGGAUUUUUGUUCCAAAGAACCAUUUGGUUAAAAGAAAAACUGGAGUGGAUUGUCACAUGGUAAGCUCUUUAUAUGAUACGAUCACAAUUUAACAAGUACGCAAACUUUGUGGAAGUUGUAUCAGCAAGUAAGGAGGAAUAGCUGUAUACAUGAUCCGUGGAAACGAUGGUCUGGGCCUUAGUCCUAGAGGUAAGGAUGCCAGUUAAGAUGCCUGAUAUAAGUCCCAGCUCUGCUGUCAGUUCUAGCGGUCCAACCCAUGCGAAGGAGGAGGUGAGUGAUGGCUCCCGGGACUCUGUGCCCACAGGAGACCUGGAUUGACUGCUCAGCUGCUGUCCCAGUGCU